GACGAACGCUGGCGGCGUGCUUAACACAUGCAAGUCGAACGGAAAGGCCCUGCUUUUGUGGGGUGCUCGAGGGGCGAACGGGUGAGUAACACGUGAGUAACCUGCCCUUGACUUUGGGAUAACUUCAGGAAACUGGGGCUAAUACCGGAUAGGAGCCCCUGCUGCAUGGUGGGGGUUGGAAAGUUUCGGCGGUUGGGGAUGGACUCGCGGCUUAUCAGCUUGUUGGUGGGGUAGUGGCUUACCAACGAUUUGACCGGUAGCCGGCCUGAGAGGGUGACCGGCGACAAUGCGACUGAGAUACGGCGCAGAGUGCAACGGGAGGCAGCAGUGGGGAAUAUUGCACAAUGGGCGGAAGUGUGAGGAAGAAACGCCGCGUGCGGGAUGACGGCUUUUGGGUUGUGAACCGCUUUCGCCUGUGACGAAGCGGGAGUGACGGUAAUGGGUAAAGAAGCACCGGCUAACUACGUG
rnacentral:rRNA from 1 species